rnacentral:rRNA from 2 species
UCUGGUGUCAGCCGCCGCGGUAAAACCAGCACCUCGAGUGGUCAGGAGGUUUAUUGGGCCUAAAGCAUCCGUAGCCGGUUGUUUAAGUUUUCGGUUAAAUCUAUGCGCUUAACGUAUAGGCUGCCGAAAAUACUGGACAGCUAGGGAGUGGGAGAGGUACACGGUACUCAAUAGGAAGGGGUAAAAUCCUUUGAUCUGUUGAUGACCACCUGUGGCGGAGGCGGUGUACCAGAACACGUUCGACGGUGAGGGAUGAAAGCUGGGGGAGCAAACCGGAUUAGAUACCCGGGUAGUCCCAGCUGUAAACGAUGCAAACUCGGUGAUGCAUUGGCUUGUGGCCAAUGCAGUGCCGCAGGGAAGCCGUUAAGUUUGCCGCCUGGGAAGUACGUACGCAAGUAUGAAACUUAAAG